ACAGGAACAAUACCACAGAAGUAAUUCACUUAAUCUAAUUCCACUAACAGCGGUAUAUAAAAGGUGAUUUAGUUUCCUUUUCUAAAGGAAACAUACCUUACAAGAAAAAAAGAAUUAAAGACACUCUUUGAUGAUGCUGUACUUGGUGUUCGUGUCAUUUCUUUGCCUUCAGGCUACAAACUUGGUUUUUGGACAAGAUGUUUGUGGAAACCAGUAUUACAAUAAAAUGUUUGGUGUUUGCUGCAACGGGGUGUUAAAUAGGCGAGCGUGGGGUAAGGAUUGCUGUGGAACUAUGGCAUAUAACUCAGAUUUUGAUACUUGCUGCAACGGAUUUGUCACUAGAAAUAGCAGGGGUGCAAGUUGUUGUGGAAAUAGAGCAUACAGCCCUUAUUAUGCUGUUUGCUGCAACGGGGUCGUAAAUUCACGAAGACGGGGCACAAGUUGCUGUGGAACUCAAGCAUAUAAUUCUAGAUAUAUGAACUGUUGCAAUGGUUAUAUCUGUUAAAUCCAUCUCGAAAUAAAGUCAUUCUUGUUUUCUUGUAA